CGCCACUGCACUACAGCCUGACCGACAAAGCAAGACUCAGUCUCAAAAAAAAAAAAAACCAACCAACCAUUCACUAAGUGCAUGUAAGCAAAUCUACCCUGGUUGUCCCAAAUUGGGAUUCAACCACUUUAGAAGUCUUGUUAGACAUUUUUUCAGUGGAUACAUAAUAGUUGUAUGUACUUACCGAGCAUGUGAUAUUGAUAUGUGCAUACAAUAUAUAAUGAUCACAUCAGAAUAACUGGAAUAUCCAUCACCUCAAACAAUGAUCAUUUCUAAAAGAACAUUCCAAAGCUGCUCUUUUAGCUGUUUUGAAAUAUACAAUAAAUUAUUAAUUGUUGGGAAACUUUUGAAAGUUAUCUUUAAGCUGCUUUUUUGGACAAGAGGUAUAUAAUUGCAAUACAGAUGGAUAUUAACUUCCACUGUAUAUUUCAUUAAAGCUGGUAAAAUUUUUUUAAAGGAUCUAAAAUUUUGCCAUGUAAGGAACUUAAGCAUCUUUAUGUUUAAUUGCAAAAUUUUUAUAUUCCCAAUAUAAAAAUUUCUCUUCAAGUAUUUCCUGCAUUGCCAUUUUUAGCAUGUUUGGCUAUUCUGCUAUGUAACCUACCUAGUGAUACUCGCUGGAGACAGUCCGUCUACAGGCAUGUCUGAUAGGCACAAGUUCUU
rnacentral:lncRNA from 1 species